UGGGGAAUUUUGGACAAUGGGCGAAAGCCUGAUCCAGCAAUGCCGCGUGUGUGAAGAAGGCCUUCGGGUUGUAAAGCACUUUUGUCCGGAAAGAAAUCCUUGGCUCUAAUACAGUCGGGGGAUGACGGUACCGGAAGAAUAAGCACCGGCUAACUACGUGCCAGCAGCCGCGGUAAUACGUAGGGUGCAAGCGUUAAUCGGAAUUACUGGGCGUAAAGCGUGCGCAGGCGGUUUGCUAAGACCGAUGUGAAAUCCCCGGGCUCAACCUGGGAACUGCAUUGGUGACUGGCAGGCUAGAGUAUGGCAGAGGGGGGUAGAAUUCCACGUGUAGCAGUGAAAUGCGUAGAGAUGUGGAGGAAUACCGAUGGCGAAGGCAGCCCCCUGGGCCAAUACUGACGCUCAUGCACGAAAGCGUGGGGAGCAAACAGGAUUAGAUACCCUGGUAGUCCAGCGCCCUAAACGAUGUCAACUAGUUGUUGGGGAUUCAUUUCCUUAGUAACGUAGCUAACGCGUGAAGUUGACCGCCUGGGGAGUACGGUCGCAAGAUUAAAACUC
rnacentral:rRNA from 1 species